rnacentral:rRNA from 1 species
AACGAACGCUGGCGGCAGGCUUAACACAUGCAAGUCGAACGCUCGUAGCAAUACGGGAGUGGCGGACGGGUGAGUAACGCGUGGGAACGUGCCCUGAGGUACGGAAUAACUGAGGGAAACUUCAGCUAAUACCGUAUGAGCCCCGAGAGGGGGAAAGAUUUAUCGCCUUGGGAGCGGCCCGCGUCGGAUUAGCUAGUUGGUGGGGUAACGGCCUACCAAGGCUUCGAUCCGUAGCUGGUCUGAGAGGACGAUCAGCCACACUGGGACUGAGACACGGCCCAGACUCCUACGGGAGGCAGCAGUGGGGAAUCUUGCGCAAUGGGGGGCAACCCUGACGCAGCCAUGCCGCGUGAACGAUGAAGGCCUUAGGGUUGUAAAGUUCUUUUACCCGUGACGAUGAUGACGGUAACGGGGGAAUAAGCUCCGGCUAAACUUCGUGCCAGCAGCCGCGGU